ACAAGCGGCGGAGCAUGCGGAUUAAUUCGAUGCAACGCGAAGAACUUACCAAGGCUUGACAUACACCGGUAACGCCCAGAGAUGGGUGCCCCUUUGUGGUCGGUGUACAGGUGGUGCAUGGUUGUCGUCAGCUCGUGUCGUGAGAUGUUGGGUUAAGUCCCGCAACGAGCGCAACCCUCGUCCUAUGUUGCCAGCGGGUCAUGCCGGGGACUCAUGGGAGACUGCCGGGGUCAACUCGGAGGAAGGUGGGAUGACGUCAAAUCAUCAUGCCCCUUAUGUCUUGGGCUUCACGCAUGCUACAAUGGCCGGUACAAAGGGCUGCGAUACCGCGAGGUGGAGCGAAUCCCAGAAAGCCGGUCUCAGUUCGGAUUGGGGUCUGCAACUCGACCCCAUGAAGUCGGAGUCGCUAGUAAUCGCAGAUCAGCAACGCUGCGGUGAAUACGUUCCCGGGCCUU
rnacentral:rRNA from 1 species